rnacentral:rRNA from 1 species
UACGAAGGGGGCUAGCGUUGCUCGGAAUUACUGGGCGUAAAGGGCGCGUAGGCGGACAUUUAAGUUAGAGGUGAAAGCCCAGGGCUCAACCCUGGAAUAGCCUUUAAUACUGGAUGUCUUGAGUUCGGGAGAGGUGAGUGGAAUGCCGAGUGUAGAGGUGAAAUUCGUAGAUAUUCGGCGGAACACCAGUGGCGAAGGCGACUCACUGGCCCGAUACUGACGCUGAGGCGCGAAAGCGUGGGGAGCGAACAGG